GACGAACGCUGGCGGCGUGCUUAACACAUGCAAGUCGAACGGACAGGCCCUGCUUUUGUGGUGUGCUCGAGUGGCGAACGGGUGAGUAACACGUGAGUAACCUGCCCUUGACUUUGGGAUAACUUCAGGAAACUGGGGCUAUUACCGGAUAGGAGCUCCUGCUGCAUGGUGGGGGUUGGAAAGUUUCGGCGGUUGGGGCUGGAAUCGCGGCGUAUCAGCUUGUUGGUAAGGUAGUGGCUUACCAAGGCUGUGAUGGAUAGCCGGCCUGUGAGGGUGAUCGGCGACACUGGAAGUGAGCCGCGGACAAGAGUACUACGGGAGGCAGCAGUAGGGAAUGUUCCGCAAUGGGCGAAAGCCUGACGGAGCGACGCCACGUGAGUGAUGAAGGUCUUCGGAUCGGAAAGCUGUCUUAUUAGUGAAGAACAUAUGUGUCCGUAAAUGAGCAGAGCUUGACGGUAACUAAUAAGAAAGCCACGGCUAACUACGUG
rnacentral:rRNA from 1 species